rnacentral:rRNA from 1 species
CGCCUACGGGGCGCAUCAGUGGUUAAUCUUGCACACUUUUUUUCACCCUGAUGCAGCGACGCCGCGUGGGUGAAGGAGUACUUCGGUACGUAAAGCCCUAUCAGCAGGAAAGAAAAUGACGGUACCUGACUAAGAAGCCCCGGCUAACUACGUGCCAGCAGCCGCGGUAAUACGUAGGGGGCAAGCGUUAUCCGGAUUUACUGGGUGUAAAGGGAGCGUAGACGGCAGUGCAAGUCCGGAGUGAAAGCCCGGGGCUCAACCCUGGGACUGCUCUGGAAACUGUAAAGCUGGAGUGCGGGAGGGGG